rnacentral:tRNA from 1 species
GCGCCCGAUGGGGAUUUGACGUAGCGCGGACCCGCUCAUAACGGUCUGGUUGCAGGUUCGAGUCCUGCCGGGCCCACCA